rnacentral:lncRNA from 1 species
GAGGACCUACAACGAGUUGCGGUUGCUUCGCAAGCAAUACUCGACGGUAUAGCGCAUGCGUCUCAUCGUCUUGGGAGCACUCGUAGUUGUUUGAGUCGUUGCGUUAGGGCAAUACAACUACGAGAACCAGUCGUCCUAACGCUACUGUCAAACCUACUUACGUUGUCCUUAUUACCACUCGUCGGGUAGUUGUUCCGUAACACCACUAGUCGUUAUAGCACUAGUCCUUUUUGUUCGGCGUUAGGGGGCCCCACGAGUCGUCGCUAGCGUCAUCGGUUGUUUUGAACACAGAUCGGUCACACUACUGGUUGUUUGGAACGCUAAGGCCGAAAGGCAGGCGGUCGGGAACACUAAAGGCGCUUGCUCUGGGCGCUAGGGGCCGUUGCUCACGCAAGCGAAAGGGUGUUUUGGAGCACU